rnacentral:rRNA from 1 species
GAUGAACGCUGGCGGCGUGCCUAAUACAUGCAAGUCGAGCGAACAGACGAGGAGCUUGCUCCUCUGACGUUAGCGGCGGACGGGUGAGUAACACGUGGAUAACCUACCUAUAAGACUGGGAUAAAUUCGGGAAACCGGAGCUAAUACCGGAUAAUAUAUUGAACCGCAUGGUUCAAUAGUGAAAGACGGUUUUGCUGUCACUUAUAGAUGGAUCCGCGCCGCAUUAGCUAGUUGGUAAGGUAACGGCUUACCAAGGCAACGAUGCGUAGCCGACCUGAGAGGGUGAUCGGCCACACUGGAACUGAGACACGGUCCAGACUCCUACGAGAGGCAGCAGUAGGGAAUCUUCCGCAAUGGGCGAAAGCUUGACGGAGCAACGCCGCGUGAGUGAUGAAGGUCUUCGGAUCGUAAAACUCUGUUAUUAGGGAAGAACAAAUGUGUAAGUAACUACGCACGUCUUGACGGUACCUAAUCAGAAAGCCACGGCUAACUACGUG